AACGAACGCUGGCGGCAUGCCUAACACAUGCAAGUCGAACGAGACCUUCGGGUCUAGUGGCGCACGGGUGCGUAACGCGUGGGAACCUGCCCUUAGGUUCGGAGUAACUCCCCGAAAGGGGUGCUAAUACCGGAUAAUGUCUUCGGACCAAAGAUUUAUCGCCUUUGGAUGGGCCCGCGUUGGAUUAGCUAGUUGGUAGGGUAAAAGCCUACCAAGGCGACGAUCCAUAGCUGGUCUGAGAGGAUGAUCAGUCACACUGGGACUGAGACACGGCCCAGACUCCUACGGGAGGCAGCAGUGGGGAAUAUUGGACAAUGGGCGAAAGCCUGAUCCAGCAAUGCCGCGUGAGUGAUGAAGGCCUUAGGGUUGUAAAGCUCUUUUACCCGGGAUGAUAAUGACAGUACCGGGAGAAUAAGCUCCGGCUAACUCCGUG
rnacentral:rRNA from 1 species